rnacentral:rRNA from 1 species
UACGGAGGAUGCAAGCGUUAUCCGGAAUGAUUGGGCGUAAAGCGUCCGCAGGUGGCAAUGUAAGUCUGCUGUCAAAGCGUCUGGCUCAACCAGAUAAAGGCAGUGGAAACUACAUAGCUAGAGUAAGGUAGGGGUAGAGGGAAUUCCUGGUGUAGCGGUGAAAUGCGUAGAGAUCAGGAAGAACACCGGUGGCGAAAGCGCUCUGCUGGACCUUAACUGACACUGAGGGACGAAAGCGUGGGGAGCGAACGGG